AACGAACGCUGGCGGCAGGCUUAACACAUGCAAGUCGAACGAGAUCUUCGGAUCUAGUGGCAGACGGGUGACGCACACGUGGGAACAUCCCUUUCAGUUCGGAAUAACGUUGGGAAACUAACGCUAAUACCGGAUACGUCACUCGGGAGAAAGAUUUAUCGCUGAAAGAUUGGCCCGCGUCUGAUUAGCUAGUUGGUGAGGUAACGGCUCACCAAGGCUACGAUCAGUAGCUGAUCUGAGAGGAUGAUCAGCCACAUUGGGACUGAGACACGGCCCAAACUCCUACGGGAGGCAGCAGUGGGGAAUAUUGGACAAUGGGCGCAAGCCUGAUCCAGCCAUGCCGCGUGAGUGAUGGCGGCCUUCGGGUUGUAAAGCUCUUUUGUCCGGGAAGAUAAUGACUGUACCGGAAGAAUAAGCCCCGGCAAACUUCGUGCCAGCCGCCGCAGUAA
rnacentral:rRNA from 1 species